AACACUUAACAUGACGCCCACGAUGUGCAGGCACUGUUCUAAGCAUUUUACAUAUGUAAACUGGUUAAUCCUCAUCACAACUCCAUGAGUUUCCUGGUUGAAGGAUUAAUUAUCUGCUACCUGAUCUAAAGUUGAUAAAUGAAAAACAUCAGUAUUAACACAUGACAUGGAAAAAACACCAGAGGAGAAAAAACCACCAAAGGAAGAAAAACAAAAACUGUGAACAGUGAUGUCUCACCGGGGGUGGGAGCACAGCAGCAGACAUUUGUCAAAACUCACCCAACUCUAUAAUUUAAAUGUGUACAUUUUAUGGUAUAUAAAUGAUUCCUCAAUAAAGUUGAUUAAUCCAAA